UGAUCAAGUAGGCAAGGGCGUACGGAGGAUGCCUGGCCACUCGAAACUGAAGAAGGACGCACCGAACUGCGAAAAGCGGCGCCGAGCUGUAAGGAAGCGAAGACACGCCGAUAUCCGAAUGGGGAAACCCGGCAUCUUGAAAGGGAUGUCAUCUCUAGGAUGAAUAAAUAGUCGUAGAGAGAGGGACCCGGGGAACUGAAACAUCUAAGUACCCGGAGGAAAAGAAAACAAGAGUGAUUCCCCGAGUAGCGGCGAGCGAAAGGGGAGCAGCCCAAACCGUUCUGAGGGACGGGGUUGAAGGGGGUUCAGGAAAGCAGAGACAGACCAUAGGCAAACGCGAACGGAAGCGCGGCCGAAGAGGGUGAAAGCCCCGUAGCCGAAAUGGGAAGAGGAAGCGAGAACGACCCUGAGUACGACGAGACACGAGGAAUCUUGUCGGAAGCAGGCGGGACCAUCCGCCAAGGCUAAAUAUAAACGAGUGAGCGAUAGAGAAAGAGUACCGUGAGGGAAAGGUGAAAAGAACCGCGGGAGCGGAGUGAAAGAGAACCUGAAACCGUAUGCCUACAAGAAGUCAGAGCCCGUCAAGGGGUGAUGGCGUGCCUUUUGUAGAAUGAACCGGCGAGUUGCGUUGCGAUGCGAGGUUAAGCGAGGAAAGAGCGGAGCCGAAGCGAAAGCGAGUCUGAAGAGGGCGGAGAGAGUAGAGCGAUGCAGACCCGAAACCGGGUGAUCUAGCCAUGGGCAGGUUGAAGCAGAAGUGAAAUUCUGUGGAGGACCGAACCGACUACCGUUGAAAAGUUAGCGGAUGACCUGUGGCUAGGGGAGAAAUUCCAAUCGAACCCGGAGAUAGCUGGUUCUCCCCGAAAUAGCUUUAGGGCUAGCGUCGGCCGAUGAGCAAGGGAGGUAGAGCACUGAAUGCAUGAUGGCCCCAACCCGGGGUACUGAAUGCAAUCAAACUGCGAAUGCCCUUGAAGAAAGAGGCCGGCAGUCAGACUGUGGGUGAUAAGGUCCAUGGUCGAGAGGGAAACAG
rnacentral:rRNA from 1 species